CAGCCGCCACGGUAAUACGAAGGGGGCUAGCGUUGUUCGGAAUUACUGGGCGUAAAGCGCGUGUGGGCGGGUCUUUAAGUCAGAGGUGAAAUGCCAAGGCUCAACCUUGGAACUGCCUUUGAUACUGGAGAUCUUGAGUCCGGGAGAGGUGAGUGGAAUUGCGAGUGUAGAGGUGAAAUUCGUAGAUAUUCGCAAGAACACCAGUGGCGAAGGCGGCUCACUGGCCCGGAACUGACGCUGAGACGCGAAAGCGUGGGGAGCAAACAGGAUUAGAUACCCCCGUAGUCCCUGUCUCUUAUAC
rnacentral:rRNA from 1 species